rnacentral:lncRNA from 1 species
AUGAUGGGGUUCAUUCACCAAGAAGCCAAGGAAAAGGCCAAUGAGAUCUCCAUCUCUGCUGAAGAAGUACGUAUCCCAAUUCUAUCACAACUCUCUUCUUUUUCCCCAAUUGUUACUUUUUUCUAAUAACCCUAAAUUUCAAUUUCAUACCGAUCCAUUGUUGUAAUUCAUGUGUAAUCAAGUUUUGUACGUGUUUUCCAAUCCGGGGAUUCCAACACUUGGUCUCUAUGUCCGCCAUCUUUGCUUCCAUCUAUGUUGCUGGUCGGUUUGUUCCCUGCUCUUUUCUUUCUUUUCUUUUCUUUUGCACCUCAUUUGAUUUUGCAAAAAUUCGACCUAUAUAUGAUAAAUUUUGGUUCCCUCCCUUUUUGUUUGA